UUAUUUAUUACAAAUAUUUGCACUGUAAAAAUGAUAAAGAAAUAGAAUUUUCCAAUUCACCUCAUACUAACAAAUGAAGAUUUGUUUAGUUA